AUUGAACGCUGGCGGCAGGCCUAACACAUGCAAGUCGAGCGGAUGAAGGGAGCUUGCUCCUGGAUUCAGCGGCGGACGGGUGAGUAAUGCCUAGGAAUCUGCCUGGUAGUGGGGGAUAACGUCCGGAAACGGGCGCUAAUACCGCAUACGUCCUGAGGGAGAAAGUGGGGGAUCUUCGGACCUCACGCUAUCAGAUGAGCCUAGGUCGGAUUAGCUAGUUGGUGGGGUAAAGGCCUACCAAGGCGACGAUCCGUAACUGGUCUGAGAGGAUGAUCAGUCACACUGGAACUGAGACACGGUCCAGACUCCUACGGGAGGCAGCAGUGGGGAAUAUUGGACGAUGGGCGAAAGCCUGAUCCAGCCAUGCCGCGUGUGUGAAGAAGGUCUUCUGAUUGUAAAGCACUUUAAGUUGGGAGGAAGGGCAGUAAGUUAAUACGUUGCUGUUUUGACGUUACCAACAGAAUAAGCACCGGCUAACUUCGUG
rnacentral:rRNA from 1 species